rnacentral:rRNA from 1 species
UACGAAGGGGGCUAGCGUUGCUCGGAAUCACGUGGGCGUAAAGCGCACGUAGGCGGACUCUUAAGUCGGUGGUGAAAUCCGUGGAGCUCAACGUCCAGAACUGCCUUCGAUGACUGAGAGUCUCGAGUCCGGGGAGAGGUGAGUGGAACUGCGAGUGUAAGAGGUGAAUUCGUAGAUAUUCGGCAAGAACACCAGUGGCGAAGGCGGCUCACUGGCCCGGUACUGACGCUGAGGUGCGAAAGCGUGGGGAGCAAACAGG